rnacentral:rRNA from 1 species
UACGGGGGGGGCAAGCGUUGUUCGGAAUUACUGGGCGUAAAGGGUUCGUAGGCGGUUUGUCGCGUCUGCUGUGAAAUCCCGAGGCUCAACCUCGGGCCUGCAGUGGGUACGGGCAGACUAGAGUGCGGUAGGGGAGAUUGGAAUUCCUGGUGUAGCGGUGGAAUGCGCAGAUAUCAGGAGGAACACCGAUGGCGAAGGCAGAUCUCUGGGCCGUAACUGACGCUGAGGAGCGAAAGCGUGGGGAGCGAACAGG